UGAAGGUGGACCUUUGCUCAACAUGCAACUGACCUUAUUGAAGAAUUCACUGGACAUCAAAGCUUGUUGUUGGGAAGCGUCAUAUCAGUAAACAGAGUUUAACAUCUUCUUCAAUGUUGCUUUUGCUUUAUGGACCUUUUUCAUUUAUGGGCAGUUGGAAAUUAUCCAUUUCAUCUAAUACAAUCAACAUACGAGCUGGAGUGUGGAUCAGUGGAUUGCUAGUUUUUCCAAGCAUAACAUAAGGGAUGCAGUGAUUGCCGGGCUGUCUGGGGGGGAGGCACGCGGCACCGAGCGUCACGGAGGCAAGUGCACAGCCAAUACGAUCAACGCUUUCUGUUGUGGGAACGAUGCUGCAGCCUCUGUGACAGUGAACAGGGAGGCUUUUCUGAAGAAAAUGGCACAACGGAAUUCAAAAUUCUUCAGGCAAGGAUCGCCAAGAUGGAGCUGACCACGGAAUGUCCAGAUGUAGCAGGAGGCCAUCUGUGGGAUAUGGAGGAGAUCAGGUGGAUGGAGAUCGAGAAGGUGUUUUUGCAGGAAUGAGGAACUCAACUGCUUCCACUUCACGGAAGUGUGGUGGAUGCUGCUCCCACAAAUUAUUGAUAAUCUGCACUCAGAUCCAUUUCCUCACCAGAAAACAUCUCAGUUCUGAUUCCUCUAUGUAAACAGUGCAGCAGCUGCAGCUAAUAAGCACACAGGGCUCUUCAAGGCUAUUAGAGAUGGGACUUUGAUUGGUUGGUAAUUCUUGUUACACCUAAGACAUACGGGUAAUUAAUUAAGAUACUGUCGCGCGUCAUGAGCAAGCGAUUGUUUUUACGCACCUUUUGUUUAUUCAGUUAUUCAUUUCAUCCUCCCUCCAGGUUAUUUCUCCGCUCACAUUUAAACUUUGUUUGAGUUAGUUUAUUCCACAAAAGCUCUUGCAGUGUGUUGGUGUUCAUUUUUUUGCCCCCACAGCGCUUAGAGCAAUGUGCAGGUCUUUCUUCUAUUCAGUUGUGGCUGAAGUGCAUGGAGCAAUGUACAGGUGUCUCUUUAGUUUUACUUUCAGUUUAAUGCACUCCAGUCACAUUUAGGUUAUCCUCUUGUGUUUGUGCACUUUUAUCUCCAUGCUCUUUGUGUUCCAUUUUCACAUCCUUUCUGUGAUCACAGUGUAAUUAUUUCCAGGUGACUGUGAUUAGUUGCUCAACUUUACAGCCUCAACUUUAUCUAAAUUCUGGGGGUUUUUUAGUGAAGCUUAGGGCUUGUGGCCGGCGAUUACCUUAGUAUUUUUUCUGUUUUUCUUGUUGCUUAAUGCUGAUAAAUUAUACUGUAUUUGUUGUCUUUCCAAUGCCUGAUUCUGUUUUUCUCUCUGUUUGAGGUACAGCUCCAUCCAGAGAUGGGAGUGAUGUCUACUUCUGCCACCCUUCCCUCCUGUGCACUGGCAAAAUUUCCUGUAUAUUUGUUUUGUAAUUGUAUUUGUACCAUGGCCCAAGCAGAGGGUCACCCCUUUGAGUCUGGUCUGCUUGAGGUUUCUUCCUCAAAUCAGAGGGAGUUU